rnacentral:lncRNA from 1 species
CCAGAUCUACCUCCCGUCGCCAAGGCCUCCGAGGGGAGGUACUCUACAGUCUGAGGGGCCGCCCCGUAACCUGCAGACCGAGGAGGCGACCUACCAUACUCUGCCAAGGAGACGCCCCACUGCCCCUCUUCCAACACCGGCGACGCCUCCCCUACCUCAUCUGUCCUACCCCGUUUCCAAAUCUGGCUACUGUAGGUAAGCUUCAUCGUUGAUUCUUUUAAUUUUCUUCCGUCCAAAACUAUGAUUGCCCAUUAGAUCUAUCUAGUUUGAACAAGUUUAUGUCGGCUUAUUUGAGUUUGGGUAAUUUUAGGCUGGUUUAGGAACGGCUUAGGCUGACUGGAAGGGAGCGCAUGUACUACUGUAGGUGGGAGCAUGCGGCCUGGUUCAUGGCGGAGGUGGCCUAGUUCGUGAGUGGACAAAGCAACGACCUGGACCAGAUGUCUAACCGACAGUUUCACAUGUGAAUUUUGAUUCAUAUAAAUUUUGUGAUUUAUCUCUGCUAUUAUCUGUAAAAUCAUGUUCUAAUAUGUGCCAUUUGCAGGGCAAAAGCUGGCGGAAACAGGAGAAGAAAGUGAGGUCCUUGUGUAUGAUGAUG